AAUUUCUAAAACUAUUUAGUUUAGUUUUUUCUGUUAUAAAGCUAAGAAAAUGGCGAUGGAGUAUAAUGGUGUGUGUAACUUAUUUCUUAUUUUCAUAUUGACAAUAUCUAAAAAAAAUUGGGAUUUGAUCUUUGGAGCUGGAUAGGUUACUUGUAUUGCUUAUGCCUCUAUAUAGUUGACUUCCUUUGUACUUUUAAUAACCUCAAAUUUGAUUUGUCUAUGAGUAGAUAAGGGAUACAACUUAACAACUGAAUGUUUCUUGUUACACAAUAUAAUAAAAUACUUCUAUAUAUUUAUUUUUUCCUUUAUUGAUAAAAAAAUAAAUGCAAUUUUACCAAUAGUUGGAACGACAAGUAACCUUAGCAUGGGAGUUGCAAACACUAUAUGGUUAGGUGCUUCAAUGUCGAAACAUUUUCUUGGAAAAUGCUGAGUUGUGUUUUUGUUAUUUCUUAAUUUUUUUUCAUAGUAAAAAAGGGUUGAAAGCAAGGAUGUCUUUUACUAUUGGUAUUUUGCAGAGAUAGUUUGUUGAAAAAAAUGUUUGAUUAUUAUGAGAUGUAAUGUGAGGUAUAAAUUUAAUUUUUAUGUUUAUUAUGAGAUGUAAUGUGAGGUAUAGAUUUAAUUUUUAUGUUUAUUUUGUAUAAAGUUAUUUACGAUUAAGGGUUUCCAUUCAAAUGCAUUGGAAGAAGUAUAAGAUAUGUGUAACCAUAUA
rnacentral:lncRNA from 1 species